AAGAUCACCUUGGGUUGUUAAUGAGGCUGUGUAGAAGCUAAGGGGGAAGUUUAUCUGUCAUUAGGUAAGAUUCACAGGUACAAUUGAUGAAUUUCAUACCUUCGAACACUAAUGGAAAACAUUGACUUGAGAUCUAACGCUGCUGGUAAGACCUUUUGAUUUUAUGCAAAAAUUAUAUUCCUUCCUUCAUCCUCACACAGCAGUCCCUAACUUUGCCUGAUUUGGGCAUUUUUCAGCUUUUUACAGGUGGAUCUACUGAUGGGCUUCACUUUCAGCCCAUGCCAGCCCCAAGUCUCAAGGAACUCCCACGGCAGGAGGGAUAGUAGCUGCCUCUGUGCAGAGAGAAAAUGCCAUGUGAGGACGUCGAGAAGCUGUUGUCUGCAAGAGGAGGAAUCUCACAAGAAACCAGCCCUGCUGGCAGCUGGAUUGUGGACUUCCAGACUCCAAAACUCUCCUUUAAAAGAGGACUGGGACUUCCCUGGUGGCGCGGUGGUUAAGAAUCCACCUGCCAAUGCAGAG